GGCUUGCCUGUGCCUUGGGCCGGCCGUGGGCGGCUGGGGCGGCGGUGGGGGGGGGGGGGCUGAGGGGACUG
rnacentral:miRNA from 1 species